rnacentral:misc_RNA from 1 species
AAAAGUCGUAACAAGGUCUCCGUUGGUGAACCAGCGGAGGGAUCAUUAGCGAGUUCAUCUCUCUAAAACCAUUGUGAACGAACAGCUUCGUUGCUUCGGCAGCGUACUAUCCGUAGGCUUCUGAAGCCUGCGGGUCGGCCUGCCGAAAGAACGCAAACUCUUGUAACCACUGUAUCUCUGAGUAACUUAAUCAAUAAGUUAAAACUUUCAACAACGGAUCUCUUGGUUCUG